AUGAACGCUAGCGGCAGGCUUAAUACAUGCAAGUUGAGGGGCAGCAUGAUAUACGCGAGUAUAUUGAUGGCGACCGGCGGACGGGUGAGUAAUAGGUAGGAGACCUACCUCAUACAGGGGGAUAGCAUAGAGAAAUCUGUGGUAAUACCCCAUGAGGUUAUAUGAAUAGAGGCAUAUAAUCAAAGCAUAAGCGAUUAUGCGGUAUGAGAGGGGCCUACUGACCAUUAGCUAGUUGGUGAGGUAAGGGCUCACCAAGGCGAAGAUGGUUAGGGGUUUUGAGAGAGAGACCCCCCACAUUGGAACUGAGAGACGGUCCAGACUCCUACGGGAGGCAGCAGUAGGGAAUAUUGGGCAAUGGGCGAAAGCCUGACCCAGCCAUGCCGCGUGAAGGAAGACGGCCUUAUGGGUUGUAAACUUCUUUACUACGCGAAUAGAGGUUAGUACGAGAUACUAAUAGGAAGGUAGUGUAGUAAAAAAGCACCGGCUAACUCCGUG
rnacentral:rRNA from 1 species